rnacentral:rRNA from 1 species
UACGUAGGGCGCAAGCGUUAUCCGGAAUUAUUGGGCGUAAAGAGCUCGUAGGCGGUUUGUCGCGUCUGCUGUGAAAGACCGGGGCUCAACUCCGGUUCUGCAGUGGGUACGGGCAGACUAGAGUGCAGUAGGGGAGACUGGAAUUCCUGGUGUAGCGGUGAAAUGCGCAGAGUAUCAGGAGGAACACCGAUGGCGAAGGCAGGGUCUCUGGGCUGUAACUGACGCUGAGGAGCGAAAGCAUGGGGAGCGAACAGGA